rnacentral:rRNA from 1 species
CCUACGGGAGGCAGCAGUGGGGAAUAUUGCACAAUGGGGGAAACCCUGAUGCAGCGACGCCGCGUGAGUGAAGAAGUAUCUCGGUACGUAAAGCUCUAUCAGCAGGGAAGAAAAUGACGGUACUUGACUAACAACCCCCUGCUAACUACGUGCCAGCAGCCGCGGUCAUACGUAGGGGGCAAGCGUCCUCCGGAUCUACUGGGGGUAAAGGGAGCGUAGACGGCAGCACAAGUCUGGAGUGAAAUCCCGGGGCUUAACCCCGGAACUGCUUUGGAAACUGUGCGGCUGGAGUGCAGGAGGGGGAAGUGGAAUUCCAGGUGUAGCGGUGAAAUGCGUAGAUAUAAGGAGGAACACCGGUGGCGAAGGCGGCUUACUGGACUGUAACUGACGUUGAGGCUCGAAAGCGUGGGGAGCAAACAGGAUUAGAUACCCGGGUAGUC